UCAAACGCUUUUCUCAUUGUAAAAUUCUAUGUAUGUCCUAAUUGGUUGAAUUUUAUUUUCAAUUUAUAAAUAUUCGAUGCUGUAUGUUGUUAUUUUGCUCCCUUCGUUCUGAGCUUCAAAUGUCACCCAAAACAUUAAAGUACAAACAGACGAUUUAACAUUUUCAGCUUUCAGCCCCCCCCCCCCUCGCCUUCGUCUAGUGAAAUGGCGUUUAUUUUGAAGUUUGACAUUUUUAAGACUCCCAUUCCAUUUUUGUUAUUUUCUCUUAAGUCAAAAAAAGUUAUCCUGUGAGCCCCUUCUCUAGUUGAAAAAUAUUCAAAAAAAAUUCUAUUUACCCAAACGUUUUCCAUUUCUCCCUCAAAAUUUUUGUACAUAUUUUUUUUCAAGAAAAAACAUCCUCCUACAAAUUUAUUUGGUCCCUUUGUGUGGAGCCUCUCAAACGUUGAAAAAAUUCAUAACCAAAAAAUAAAAUGAAUAAAAGUCGAUAAUUUUUUUCUGAAAAUUUUACAAAACCUUCAAGAAGCACACCACAGGUUCUGUACAGAUGUAAAUCCCCAAAUUUCAGCCUCAUAGGUCAAUUUGGGGAGGCCCCAGCGAUGAUUCUGAAUCGAAAAUCAUUUUAAAAAACGAGAAAAUUCACUUUAUUUUUGCUGAAAAGGGACGAGGAAAGGUUGAAAAGUCGAAACCUUCAAUAUAGAGGACACAUUUAAGGUACUCUUCAGAUUUAUUUUUAUAUUUCAAAUUCGGCCUCUUCGAUUAAUUUGACGAUGUUUCGGCGAUUCAUUCAAAAUCAAAAACCUUUAAAAAGGACGAAAAUUCACUUUUUUUGUAGCUGAAAAGGGUGGGGAAGGGUUGAUAAGUUGAAACCUCCCAUACUUGCCAAGUUCCAGUCUCCUAGGUCAAUUUAGAAAGAGGGGAGAAGGGGUGUUGUCAAAAAAUACGAAAAAAAUCAGUCUUCUCCCCUCCGUAUCAGUCUAAGAGGAUGAUUUUUGGUUAUGUAACACAACUUUCAAUUUCCGAUCAAUUCGAUUCCUAUUUUGAUUUUUUUUUAACCAUUUCACUUCCAUUCAUCCCUUUCCUUAAAAUUUGAAGAUUCGUGAAUUUUGGGUCAAGGUCAUCGCACUCAGGUCCCUCCAAUCCAACGCCAACCCAAGCCCAAGAACUAAAUUUGCGCAAAUUAAAAUGCACUCGUCUAUCGAAAAUUUAUCAUUUUUGGUCAACACUUUUCUGAAUGACUAUAUUUUCAAAAACAAAAAAAAACUUAACCGCAAGCAAUGUUGGUCCCCUCAAUCCCAGAGGUUUUCUCGAAAAAGAGGUUAUUUGGAAAAUUUUGAUCAGAGUGUUAAAUAGAUAUAUAGAGGCGUUGCGUACGUUGGGAGGAUAAGAAUAUUUCCCUAAUAGGUCAGGAUGAAUCUAACUCCCUAAGAGAUGUAAUAUAUCACCUUUUAAAACAGUACUUACCCGCUGCUAGCUCAGCUAUUUCAACACCAAUAUGUAUAAAUUUAAACAGAUUUAGUCGAGUUUACCUUGUAUUAAUUCGAACCGCACGCGAAAUAAGAACACACGAUAAACACGAAUAGUGUAUUAUAAUUUUGGAAUAAAAUUACAACACGAAACUUAAGUCUAAAACAUAUAAAACUCUACGCGUAUAACCAAUAUAUAUUCCACCGAAUAGUGGCGCAAGUAGGAUCGCUUUUACCUAUCUGCGUGUAACUAUCGAAUUGCCCGCGUUGGGUAGCGAAUUUAGAAGACUUAAGUUUAAACGCGAAUACUCUCCCUUAAACACGAACGUUAAGGCAGAGGACCUGGGACUCAAGCACAACUCUUACGUAGGAGUGAGUGGCCUUAUUACUUUUCCGCGGUCAGACCUACCAGACGAAGCGCGAAUCGACAAGUGAAGAUCAAUUCCAUCUCAACUUGGCUUCUAGCCUCGAGUUGAGAAGGAAUUGAGCUUUACGAACUUGUGAGCUUUUCACAUCUGCCCUUAAUGGAACGAUGUGAAAACACCUCUUGGGUGGUUCCCACGUACUUAACACCUUACCUAAGUGCAUCGAAUAUAUACUUUCAUCUAAGUAAAGUACUGUAGAAUCGAACUAUUGAUUGGAUUCUCCAGUACUUCCUUUAGAUGAAAGAUUUAUAAACCCACUGAGAGAGAUACGAUGAAUAUCCCUGUCUAGCCAGUGAAGGCAUAUUGUCCCCUUACAUUUGCCCCUAACGUGGGUUUACUUCUAAAGUAUCCCCUGAGGAAAUGUAGAGGAAAGCACGGAAAUUUUGAAAAAAGGUGACAUUGUGCUUCACUGGAUGUGACCCUAUUGCCCCCCGUACUUUGCUUGAGUGAUGCGGGGAAUAGUAAUCCCAAAAUAAAUUUUGAAACUCUUUGGUUUUUAUUAUAAUUCCAAAAGUGAGGUGGAUUUUGAGUGUGCUGGUGAGUUGACUCUUACUGAUAAAGAGUAACUACAAUUGACCAUCAAUAUUUGACCGAAGUCAAGAUAUCAAUAAAUCAAUCCAGAAGCUACCUUUGAUCUGGUCACUCCGCAGCAGGGUCAUGGCCGAAAUGGUAAGUAUUUAAGUACGAUUUAAUUUUUGAGGGGGAGGGUUAAUCUAAAAGGUACCCUUCCUCAAUUUUAUGAUUUCAGGAGAAGAUGAAAAAAGCUCAAGAAGUUCGUGGUUGUUUGGCUUUGUUGUCUUUGGAUAGUCUGACCAAGAAUUUUUGAAGAAAAAUUGCUGGUAAGGUUGGCUUGAGUAUAGCUAUUGUUUUUACUAAGAAUUUUGAAAAAAUGGAUGAUUUUCUAUUGGAAAAUCAUUCAUUGAAUGAUUUGGGUAGAGUUUUUUAAAGUUAAAAAAAAUAAAAAAAUUUGAAAAAAGAAAAAGUUCAAAAAAUUCUAAAGGAAAAAAUUUUAUCAAAGUUUGAUGUAAUAUUUGAGCAUUUGAAAUGUUCAAAACUGAUCAUUGAUAAGAAAAAAAAAAAAGAAAAGAAAAUUAAAAAAUUUGGAAAAACUUUGAAGAAAGUGAGUUAUUUUUCUAUUAGAAAAAUUGUCAUUUCUUCAAAAUCCAAAAAAGAAUUGUUUUUUAGGGAAGUUUGAAAAAUGAGAGAAAAAAAAAAAGGUUGAGGAAAAAUGAAUUGUUUUUCUAUUGGAAAAAAUGUUCAUUUUUUCAAAAGAAAAUUGACAUUUUGGAAUUUUAUUUUUAUGAUAGAGGGCUAAGUUUUUGGAAAAAAUUGCGCUACCUUUCUGUUGUACACGGAGUUCGGUUGAAAGCGAAACUACUUACCACCACUAUUCGGUGAAACAUAAAACAAAUUAAAAAAAAAUUUUGAAAAAAUUUAAAAAAGUUUAAAGGGAAAUAAAUUUUUAAGAAAAAUUAUAAAAAUAAAUAGGAAUGUACCUAAACAAACUUAAUUCUAAGCAACGUUGUUUUUCUUCUUUUUUAUUUGUUUAACGUUGUUUUAUAGUUAAUUAAGAAUAAAUUAAUUUCUAGUCAGUCUUAUUUCUCAUAAUUAAUUUCAAGUUUUUUCUUCUUCUUUACAGGUGUAUUUUGGUCAACGACGAUGGCAAGAGAAUUACUUUGUUUAUCAAAAACUAAAGAUAAGUACAAAAACAUAUUUACAUUUUUAUUAAAUAAUGUAAAAUUUAAGAGCAUUUUUGUUUCUUAGGAUUAAUCAGUCUAAUUUAAACACAUGAUCGAUUUAAAAUAUCUGUACAUUUUUUAUUUCUAAAAAAAAAUUUUAAAGUUAUGAAAUAAAUUAAAUAAAAAAUGUUGUUUUUGUUUAGGACCAGUUCAGAGAAAGAUGGGUGAAACUUAAAAUAGGAUUGAGCCAAAGUUGAACCAGUCUGUUGGGAUAUUUUUCGUAUUUACAAUAAGUAAGAAGACAAAGAAGAUUUCCUUAACUAAUAAUGCACAGAUCCUUUUUCUUGGCUCAUGGACUUCUUUUUCAGGUUGUAUUUUUUCAUAGAAAAUAAUUUUAGAUAAAAAUUAAAAAUAAAAUUUGAGUAAACUUAUGCCAUUUUUGUUCCACAGGAAGACAAAGAUAGCUAGAUUUUUGAAAGGAAUGUUAUCCGUCUACGGUCUGAGUCAACAUGGCCUUCUGUGCCCUGAAUGUGAUAUCUUUGUUAAGAAAUAAAAAAAAUUAAAAAAGAA